ncrna:Mycolicibacterium smegmatis MC2 155 ykkC-III RNA
GCGACGCCAGCACAUGGCACCGGACGAGGGGCGCCCGUACCCGGCCAGCGACAAGACGGGCCUC